rnacentral:rRNA from 1 species
AACUGAAACAUCUAAGUACCUGCAGGAAGAGAAAGAAAAUUCGAUUCCCUGAGUAGCGGCGAGCGAAACGGGAAAAGCCCAAACCAACAAGCUUGCUUGUUGGGGUUGUAGGACUCCGAUAUGGUAGUCUAUUCAGAUAGUCGAAAUACUUGGAAAAGUAUGUCAAAGAGGGUAAAAACCCCGUAGACGAAAUUUGGAUAACACCUAGGAGGAUCCUGAGUACGGCGGAACACGAGGAAUUCCGUCGGAAUCCGGGAGGACCAUCUCCCAAGGCUAAAUACUCCCUAGUGACCGAUAGUGAACCAGUA